AUACCCUGCUUUCUCUUCAGAUCAUAUACAUCUUUUGCCUUUUACUAAAGAUUUCCAUGGAGAGGAACAUUUAUGAGUUUGUACCCAAUUUUUUGAGGCUUUGCUUCGGUGAAGCU
ensembl:snRNA U5 U5 spliceosomal RNA